rnacentral:rRNA from 1 species
UUUUUCCUACGGGAGGCAGCAGUCGGGAAUAUUGCGCAAUGGAGGAAACUCUGACGCAGUGACGCCGCGUAUGGGAAGAAGGUUUUCGGAUUGUAAACCAUUGUCGUUAGGGAAGAAGAAGUGACAGUACCUAAGGAGGAAGCUCCGGCUAACUAUGUGCCAGCAGCCGCGGUAAUACAUAGGGAGCGAGCGUUAUCCGGAUUUAUUGGGUGUAAAGGGUGCGUAGGCGGGCUUUUAAGUCAGCGGUAAAAAUUCGGGGCUCAACCCCGUCCGGCUGUUGAAACUGGGGGCCUUGAGUGGGCGAG